GAGUGUGCACUUAUAUGGAAUCUAUCUCCCUUGGUAGAUAGGGGCGUUAGUCCUAUGUGAUUUAUGAGACCGAGUUUAGAAGACCUUGGCCAGGCAAGAGUUAAUAGCGGAAAGGGGUUUCGUUAUUAGAAACUCGAGUCGAUUACCUUGACGAGUUAUUCCAUUACUUCUGUUUAGUCGGGACUCAUGAUAAAAGAAUUGUAUCACACGGUAACUGCACCAAGAGGUUCAGUAUUCUAUUUUACUUGAAUGCCACUACAUGCUGCUAGGUGUCACUGGUAGAUUGUGAUACUCAUGAGAAUUAUCUAGAUGAUCGAUAAUUCUCAUUGGGCUCAGUUGGAAUAGUUCUGAUCCACUGAAAGGAGUUUUAGUGAUAUUGUUGAUAGUGAUCAAAAUAUAUCUCAUUACUAGAUGGAAUAAAACUUAUGGGGUCACACACAUAAGAGGUUGUAACUGAUCGGAUAGCCAGAUCAUGAUUUUUGAAUCGUUGGAGGACCUAAUUGUCAAUAUGUUGAUAAUUGGACUAAUUUGUAGUUGUUACAAAUUAGUGGUAUUAAAGUAUAAAUGUUAUAAGAGAGGAUUACUAAUAGUUAGUAAAUUAUGAGAGGACUUAUAUGCAAAUGUUGUAUUAUUAAUUUGAUAUGAUCAAACUAAGAUAAAGUUCAAGUUGAAUCAAAUUACGAUUUGAUCGAUCUAACUAGUUAAGGAAAUGAUAAAUUUAAAUCUAGAUUUGUACUUAUCUUUAAUGGUC
rnacentral:lncRNA from 1 species